rfam:Astyanax mexicanus chromosome 3, whole genome shotgun sequence.
AACUUAUCGGGAACAGUGUUUCCCAUAGUUU